GCCCCAGAAGGGAGACUUAGUGAUAGGUCAGUAAGUCUCACUGAAGCUCCUGUGUUAGUCCAAUUCUUAGUCUGUUGCCUUGCCAUAAUUUCAUUCACGUAAGGGCGUCCUGCAUGGUCCAUAAAUGUGUUACAAAUAGGAACCAUGCCAUCCAGUUAUAGUUAUUCCAAAAAUGAAAUCAGAGGAACUUCACCCUCUUCAUUCAUUUUAGAAUUGCUAGUCACUGUUCCCUGUACAGUCAUCACUCUCAGAGCCUCCCGCGCAGGACCGUAUAGAUUGGUCUUAGGCAGGGGGUGAGAAUGGCGUCCCUGACCUGUUUUAUCCGGGGGUUUAUUUCGGUCAAUCUUUUCAUAUAUAUUUUGAUCUAUUCUUUCUUUGAAAGGCCCAAAGGGAUAAGCAUGCCGUCCCUCAGUCAUCCUUUGAUCUAUCUUUGCC